AGAUUCUGCUGAUUGGGAUGCUCGGGAAAGGAUAUGACUAGCUCAGUGGCAGGGUCUCUCUUCCUAUAAACUGCAGAGCAAGCCAGGAUAACCAACUUGCACUUCGGCUUUGUCAGACAGACCUCGCCUUCCUUCCACAGUGAGUCCUACAGGGAGGUGAACCCAGCCAGCCUGAUUCACUGAGCCCUUCCAGGAAAUGUGAUUUCCACUCUUCCCCAGAGCUGCUGCUGGGCUCCCUGUCUCAGCCACUGUCACAAGACACACAGCAGAGUUUGUGAGAUCACUGUGGUCUGAACGGGGCUGCCUGUGCAAAACAUUUGGCUCCCAUCACCCACAGCGGGCCCAAGAGGCAGAGGGCUGUUUGUGCCACACUCCGCAUGAAAAGCACUUUCUGUGGGCUGGAGCAGAUCACGCAGUAAGAGAGGACUUUGCCCUUUAACACUUUGCUUUCCUCUUCCCAGGCCAGCACCAGCAGUAGGACGCGCAGGAGCUGUUUUGCAUACUGUAACUAAUGCCCCUGAACGCCCCUUUGUCCAUCUUGCGUCACCUGCAGUCUGAUCCCUGUCAGCUCAUGAGCACACAGAGCCUUCAAAGUUGUCUGCCAGCCGUACAGGAUGCAUUCUUAUUUCUCAGCUUUGAGCGUGUCCCAGGACUGGGACAGACCCAGAUCACUUGCCCUUUUAUCACUCCUGCCCCCGGGAUGGCCUAAGGAGAAGGGAAGAGUGCUCCGCACUGUGUGACACAGAAGGAAGUGUAGAGCCCAGCUUUGCCUUGGCCACCGCCCUGGUGAGCAAUCAGCACAGCACCACCAGCUUGUUCGUCCAGCAACGGAGACAGGUGAUACCAAGUCCUACCUCUGAGUCAGCAAGGAGCAUGCAGUGAAGAUACAGCCUUUUCCAGUAACUGGGAUUUUGCCUCACCUGCUGAUCAGCUGCCUUGUCACAAGAGGAAGUCCUCUGAUAUCAGCGUCUUGGAAUUUUUUAAUUAAGCUUUGUCCUGGCUCCGUGGCUUUCCUUUGACUUCUCUGCCCUGGUCGGCUCACCCAGCUGCAAAGUACUUUCUACUGCUGAUGUCCUCCCAUUUGCAGGCUCCCAGUCACAGCUUCUGCUUACGCCUUAGGCUUGGCUGCUGAGGAGUCUCUUUCUCACUGCCACAGCUCUAGCAUGGUCCAAGCACAGUAUAAAGCAUCACAAAGCAGCAGGGAAGACUACGAGCAUAUUCUGAAAUCCACAGAGGCCCCUAAAUCAAUAAGUGUAUCCAUCUGUCCCCAGUGAAUUCAAGCUUUUCAAGUUACGGCUUCGAUUACUGUAAUUCCAAAAGAUUGCAGCGGGCAGAGGAGUAUGCUUCUCUUUUUUCUAUUUUUAUGAGCAUAUGAUAGCACUCUGAUAUGAAAUUACAUGUUUUACUGUUUCCCUUGGUAUGUACAGCUGGACACAAAGCCACCCGAGGUCAGCGGAAAGAUUGCCACCAACCUCAGAGCCUCUGGCUUAGACCCAUAAUUACUUUCUUCUGUGGUUUGUUCCAGUUCUGCACCCUUACGUGUCGAAACACAGGAAAACCCAUCUGUAAAGCCACAGGGGAUGAUACCAUGUUUAACUAGUUGCAGAAAGCUUUGUAGAUUUAAAAU
ensembl:lncRNA